GACGAACGCUGGCGGCGUGCUUAACACAUGCCAGUCGAACGGAAAGGCCCUGCUUUUGUGGGGUGCUCGAGUGGCGAACGGGUGAGUAACACGUGAGUAACCUGCCCUUGACUUUGGGAUAACUUCAGGAAACUGGGGCUAAUACCGGAUAGGAGCUCCUGCUGCAUGGUGGGGGUUGGAAAGUUUCGGCGGUUGGGGAUGGACUCGCGGCUUAUCAGCUUGUUGGUGGGGUAGUGGCUUACCAAGGCUUUGACGGGUAGCCGGCCUGAGAGGGUGACCGGCCACAUUGGGACUGAGGUACGGCCCAGACUCCUACGGGAGGCAGCAGUGGGGAAUAUUGCACAAUGGGCUGAAGCCUGAUGCAGCAACGCCGCGUGCGGGAUGACGGCCUUCGGGUUGUAAACCGCUUUCGCCUGUGACGAAGCGUGAGUGACGGUAAUGGGUAAAGAAGCACCGGCUAACUACGUG
rnacentral:rRNA from 1 species